CUAGAAUUACACCAUCUGUAUUUCAUGUCCUGUGCCUGGAGGUGCCUGCACGGAAGGGACGUUUGCAGCCUGUGCUGAGAAGGUUGGAAGGAGGAAGAAAGUCCCUGAGCAUGGAGUGGGCUGCAGGGCUAGAUGCUUACUCUCAAGACUUGUUUUUGAAACCAAUAACAGAGUGCUCAGAUCGCCUUCCUCUGACUAUGCUGCUUCCUGGACUCCUCUAAAUUCAGAAAACAUUAGGACUACAAGAUGUACACAGCCGUGGCAGGAGAGAAAUGUGGCCUCAGAGCCUGCUGGUAACUGCUGUCUCCGGGAGCCUCUUGUCACAGGGAUGUAGGCAAAGCUGCAAGGGAAGGUGACCAAUGCUACGUCAGUCAGGAACAAGGGCAGGGGCUGGGGGUACUCAAGGGAAAAGGCCACCAAUAGUAGAAUGGCUUCCUAGGUCUCAGGACAGUGGCUUGCUUGGCUGUUGCCUAUGAAAUUAUAUUUUGCAGCCCAGAAUACACAUGAACAUGCAUAUAUACUUGAAAUAAACUUUCCAGAAAACAGCAUUUACCUUUACUGUGUUUAAUUUUCUUUGAUAUCUUCUAUUUUAUUCUAAUCCAU
rnacentral:lncRNA from 1 species